GACGAACGCUGGCGGCGUGCUUAACACAUGCAAGUCGAGCGGUAAGGCCCUUUCGGGGGUACACGAGCGGCGAACGGGUGAGUAACACGUGGGUGACCUGCCCUCAGCUCUGGGAUAAGCCUGGGAAACCGGGUCUAAUACCGGAUAUGACUCCAUGACGCAUGUUGUGGGGUGGAAAGCCUUGUGCGGCUGAGGAUGGGCCCGCGGCCUAUCAGCUUGUUGGUGGGGNGAUGGCCUACCAAGGCGACGACGGGUAGCCGGCCUGAGAGGGCGACCGGCCACACUGGGACUGAGACACGGCCCAGACUCCUACGGGAGGCAGCAGUGGGGAAUCUUGCGCAAUGGGCGAAAGCCUGACGCAGCGACGCCGCGUGAGGGAUGACGGCCUGGU
rnacentral:rRNA from 1 species